AAAGCGGAGUAGAAGACACUACCGCUGUCGAGGCCGCCGCCGCAGCUGUCGCGGCAGCAGCCAACCCCGACGCGCCGUGGCCGGCCGUGCGCGCGCGCAAGAGCGGCGGAAGAGGCGGCGCGGCAGGGGAUACAACUGGGGACGCAGCCGGGCUGCGCUCAGACACAAAUGCCGCGCUCUCGGGGACUUGGGUCCCUGGCAAAGGGAGUCUCUCUGUCCCAAGCCGUUUUCGCUCCAGAAAACGUGCCAGAGAGCAGACCGUCCUAAUGCAGUAAAAGAGUUGAGGAGAGUGGAAUGAUUGGUAGAGGUGGUGGGGUGGUUUGAAAGACGGGAAUAUAGGGGGCGGAAACCCUCAAAACGCGACUGCGCACGCGCGCGCCGGGCGCGGACGCUCACAGGUUCCCAGGGUAUCCGCCUCAAGCGGGGAAUAUGGGCGCAAGCGCGGAGUCACCGUGUUACGCAUGCGUGCGAACGAACCGUGUUCCGGAACCGGAAGAAGAAGUUCUCUCUUGCCUCACGAUGGGUAGGCCGGUGCUUCCGAACCGCGGAAUGAAGGUUCUCCUAAGCUGGAGACCCACGGAAAGAACCUAGAAGCUCCGAGAGGUUGCAAACAGCACUGCAUUGAACCAACGCCUCCUGCUCUACUGAUGGUGAUUCCACAGCUUUGUGAGGAAUAAGUUAAGAUGAAAAUGUUAUUUUAUCUGGAAGAAGAGGAAUCAGAAAGAAAAGGAGUCAGGAAUGGAUCUUACUCAGAAGGCUGACUAGACACAGCCAGGUGGAAGAGCUCCCACUGCGGGACCAAGAUGACUGGAAUGCCCCUAACAGAUCUUCAGAGGGAAGAAACCAAUAGUAGACAGAGAGAAGACACAGAAGCUGGGCUGAAGAUAGCGAAAGCUGGGAAUGUGGUACAGGGCUACUGCACACCAGUUUUUGUUCCUGGCCUACAAUGGCUCUGGGGGAUCAGCCAUGUAAGAUGUGCCUGUUUCCCCUUCACCUUCUGUUAUGAUGGGAGUUUCCACACCUGCUGGGAUUACAGGUGUGAGCCACCACGCCUGGCCUGUCAUUUAGCUUUUGACAAUCAGACGUGAGACUUGAAUUUGGAACUGAUUUACUGAGGAGGAGAGGCAAGACAUACGCGUCUGUUUUGUUAGUGAAGACCCCACCAGAAGCGGACAACUCGGAGGCCUCC